GGCGUGCCGCCAUUUUGUCGGGGAGCGCCAGGGAGGGCGUUGCUGCCGCCGGCGGGCGGGACUGCGCUUGUCCUUGUCGGUUCGGAAGCGCUGUGUGGAAGCCAGAAUCUUUAACCAGCUCAUUAUGCUGAAUUGUCUGAAACCCAAACUGCCAAGUCAGUUGAAAACAGAUUGGUGCUCCCCUUUUGCUGAAAACCUUUGUUAUGUCGUCUCCUCAAGGAUACAGCUUACCACCGCUCCCUGCCAGCGGCCGCAACGCACUGCCUGGCGCUCCCCGACAAAAUGGCGGCGUGCCCGCCCCGCUGAGAGCUGCCUCUCUCCGCCAAGGAGACCCAGGGGCUGAGAGGGUCUCACAGAGUCUGGCCUUACUUUAUGUUUGGAGCUCAGCGAACCAGAGGGUACGGCUGCUCACACUCCAC